rnacentral:rRNA from 1 species
GGUCAAGUUGUCAAGGGCGCAACGGUGGCUGCGCCUUCGGCACCGAGCCGAUGAAGGACGGGAGGCCGCGAUAGGCCUGGGGGAGCUGUCAACCGAGCUGUGAUCCCAGGGGUGUCCGAAUGGGGAAACCGGCUGGACAUGUCCAGUCACCCGCACCUGAAACACAUAGGUGUGUGGGGAACGCGGGGAAGUGAAACAUCUCAGUACCCGUAGAAGAGAAACAAAGAGUGAUCGUGAGUAGGCGGCUGAAAGCGGAUGGAGGCUAAACCGGCUGCGUGUGAUACCUGUCAGGUUGCGUGGCGGGGGUUAGAUUCUGCUACACGAGCUGACACUCGUGUGAGGAGUUACAAAAGUCAGUGGCUAGCCGAACAGUCUGAAAGCGCUGACCGUAGACGGCAGAUAGUCCGGUAGGUGAAAAGUUGCUGAUCUCCUGUGGGUGUUCUCAGGAGUAGCGGCGGACCCUGGAAACGUCGUUCGCCUACAAUCCGUCGGAGCCUUGCGCGGUGACGAAGAAGUGCCUUGGAAGAAUGAGCCUGCGAGUUAGUGGCAUGUGGCGAGGUUAACCCGCUGUGGGGAGUUGCAUGAAAAGCGAGCCCGGAAUAGGGCGAUUCAGUCGCAAGUCCUAGACCCGAAGCGGAGCGGAUUCAGCCAUGGGCAGGCUGGAAGCGCGGGUAAGACCGCGUGGAGGGGUCGAACCCACCUCACAACGUUGAAAGUUGGGGGAUGACCUGUGGUUAGGGGUGAAAGGCCAAUCAAACCCGUGGAGUGCUAGCUGGUUCUCCCGAAAUGCAUUUAGGUGCAGCGCUGUCGCGUGCUUCUUGCCGGAGGUAGAGCACCGGGCGGUCUAGGGGGGCCCGGGCAAGCUACCGAAAUCAGCCAAACUCCGAAUGCCGGUAAGUGAGAGCGCGGCAGUGAGACUGCGGGGGAUAAGCUUCAGUCGAGAGGGAAACAGCCCAGAUCACCAAAGAAGGCCCCUAAGCGUGUGCUGCGGAAAAGGAUGUGGGGUCGCAUAGGACAACCAGAGGGUUGGGUUGAGAAGCAGCCACCCUUUAAAGAGUGCGUAUUGUGCUCACUGGUCGGGCGGUUCCGCGCCGACAAUGCAAGGCCCGGCACACCGCCGAAGCUGUGGCACUGGCCACAAGUACUUCGCGAAGUUCUUCGAGCCAGGCAGGUGGGUGGGUAGGGGGAGUUGCCGUGCCGGGGUGAAGCAGCCGAGUGAUCGAGUUGUGGACGCGGCACGAGUGAGAAUGCAGGCAUGAGGCGAAAGAAGGGGUGCGCAGAAACCCUCUUCCGCCGGAUGACCAAGGUUCCAGGGCCAGCGCCAAUCCGGACGUCGGGACCUAAGGCGAGGCCGAGAGGCGUAGUCGAUGGACAACAACGGGUUGAUAUUCCCCGUACCCGCGAAAGAGCGACCCCUGACGAACCUCGUUGUGCUAACCACCCAAACCAUCCAAGACCUUCGCUGAGGGUGGGGAGCGUGGGAACCCGGCGGGUAGUAGUCAAGCCGGGGAUGGGGGUGACGCAGGAAGGUAGCUGAUCCCGGCCGGUGGCUGUGCCGGGGUAAGCGUGUAGGCCGUGCUGUAGGCAAAAUCCGCAGCACAUGAAGGCUGAGACGUGAUGCCGAGCCGAUUCAGGUGGAAGUCAGCGGUAUCCCAUGCUGCCGAGAAAGCCUCUGGCGAGUUCUGAGCGGCUCGUACCCCCAAACCGACACAGGUAUCAGGGUAGAGAAUACCGGGAGGCGAUCGGGCGAACUGUGGUUAAGGAACCGGCAAAUUGCCCUCGCAACUUAGGAGAAGGGGGGGGGCCGGAGACGCCCCGCGCGGGUGGGAGCGCGUUGUAUGGCCGCAGAGAGCAGGGGGAAGCGACUGUUUACUAAAAACACAGGUCCAUGCGAAGAAGUAAUUGACAAAGGCGGACUGACGCCUGCCCGGUGCUGGAAACGUUAUGGGACCUGUUAGUUUCGGGGCGAAGCGGAGAACUUAAGCGCCAGUAAACGGCGGUGGUAAUCCAUAACCAUCCCAAGGUAGCGAAAUUCCUUGUCGCGUUCCGGAUCUGCACGAAUGGCGUAAACGACUUCCCCACUGUCUCAACCAGCCCGGCGAAAUUGCAGUACGAGUAAAGAUGCUCGUUACGCGCGGCAGGACGGAAAGACCCCGGGACCUUUACUAUAGCUUGACAUUGGUAUCCGAAUUAGCUUGUGUAGGAUAGGUGGGAGCCGGUGAAGUCCAUACGCCAGGGUAUGGGUGGAGGCAAUCUUUGAAAUACCACUUGGUUGAUUUGGGUAUCUAACUUCGACCGUUAUCCGGUUCAGGGACAGUGUCUGUGUGAAGCCACCUGGGGCGGUUGCCUCAAAGGGUAACGGAGGCGCCCAAAGGUUCCCCGUAGCCUGGUUGGCAAUCAGGUGUUGGCGCAAGUACACAAGGGAGCUUGACUCGCAGAGACUGACAGGUCGAGCAGGGACGAAAGUCGGGACUAGUGAUCCGGCACUUGCGUGGGAAGCGGUGUCGCUCAACGGAUAAAAGGUACCCCUGGGAUAACAGCUGAUCUUCCCCAAGAGUCCAUAUCGACGGGAUGGUUUGGCACUCGAUGUCGGCUCGUCGCAUCCUGGGGCUGUGCAGCGGUGUCCCCAAGGGUUGGGCUGCCUGCCCAUUAAAGCGGUACGCGAGCUGGGUUUCUUAGAAACGUCGGCACACAGUUCGGUCCCUAUCCGCCGUGCGCGCGUAGGAUACUUGAGAAGGGCUGUCCCUAGUACGGCGGGGAUCACCGGGACGGACGAACCUCUGGUGUGCGUGCUGGAAGGAGGCCCGCUUUGUGGGCACGGCUGGUUAGCUACGUCUGGAAGGGAUAACCGCUGAAAAGCAUCUAAGCGGAAGCUCGCUUCAAGAUGGUAUCCCACCACCCUUUGGGUGUGCGCCUCCCAGCUAGACGACUGGGUUGAUAGGCGAAAUGUAAGCCCGGUAACGGGUUCAGUAGCUGAUCGCAGUACCAGCCAGGCCGAGUGACUUGACUAC